ensembl:lncRNA
CUUCUCAAAUAAGAGAGAGGACUCAACUUCUCAAAUAAGAGAGAGGACUCAACUUCUCAAAUAAGAGAGAGGACUCAACUUCUCAAAUAAGAGAGAGAGGACUCAACUUCUCAAAUAAGAGAGAGGACUCAACUUCUCAAAUAAGAGAGAGGACUCAACUUCUCAAAUAAGAGAGAGGACUCAACUUCUCAAAUAAGAGAGAGGACUCAACUUCUCAAAUAAGAGAGAGGACUCAACUUCUCAAAUAAGAGAGAGAGGACUCAACUUCUCAAAUAAGAGAGAGAGGACUCAACUUCUCUCUUAGGUUCAGUAGUGACACGGAAGAAUAAAAAAACAACAGGCUUGGGGUCAAUUCCAUUUAAAUUUCAGUCAGUUAAUUCAUUGAAGUUCACUGUAUUUAUUUCCUGAGGGGAUUGGAAUUGAAUCGGAAUCGACCCCUUGGUUUGUCAACAAUGUUGUUGGCCUAAACAGGACCAAACGGAUGAAUGUCAUUGGUCAGUUUGACACUUUCGUCGUCUCACACAAGGCUGUGCAGUGCAUAGCAACUCCAUGGGACCAGUUUUAUUAACAACUGCAGUAGCUUUCAGAUCAAAUGUUUCUCUUCAUUGUCUGUUUCGUUUCACAGAAAAACCUCAGCGGACACAUUUAUUUCAACUCCAGAUCCAUCGCCAUUUUAAUCGCUUGUAGUCCUUCAGUUUUGUAUUGAAUGCAUAGCCUGCUGUUAUAUCUGAUGAAGUUAUAGAUGCUUCAUUCAUUGUUUAUGUUUACAGGAGGCUGUGCCUCCUCCUUCAACACAGCGUCAUAUGUCUUGCUGGGCAAAAGCUUCACCUGCAAUCAUAAACCAUAUACCAAUCAAAGAGAUGACGGAGAGGUUCCACAAAGAACAGGCUUAAAGCAAUUCUAUACCUGGAACUUCCGAUGACAGAAGUAUCAUUUAAAGUUACACACACCAUUAUGUUUUACUGUACCCCUGCAGGGCUGAAAGUAUUAAGAGCUUUUAGAAGAUAAUAACACAAUGCCAGGUCUAGUGUAUAGAAUCAAAAGGACAUAAAUGCCUCCUGGCAUUGCUGAGGGAUGAUUGUCUCCAAAGCAGCUGAAGCAACUUGACAAAGGGGCGUAGAGCAGAGUGUUUAGCAACCUUUUACUACCAGUGAUUGGCAAACUAUGACCCCCUUGACAACUAACCGCCUGAGGGACCUGUCAGCAACAUCCCUGGGAAAGGUGCCGGUCCACGGACCAGAGGUUGAGAAACACUGGUGUAGAGCACUCCUGCAACUCCCCCGACUCUGCCAUCUGUUUAGGGUUGUGUACUGUAGGCACAAAACAGGAGCAAAAUGUUCUGAAAUGGAGCACGGGAUCAGUUACCUGAACACUUCUCCUGUUUUCUUCUGUUUCCCACUAGGCACUAACUGGUUGAAUCAACGUUGUUUCCAUGUCAUUUUAACAGCAAAGAUCUAUGUGAUGACAUUGAAUCAAUGUGGAGAACUGAUUGGAUUUGCAAAAAGUGAUCAAUGUAAAGGAUUUCGGGUAUAAUUGUCUUUUUUUCACCUAACUUUUAUCCUAAAUCCAAUGAGAAGGUUUGCAUGUUUGUUGAUUUUACUUUGAGUUCAUGUUAGUCGACAGUCAAAACUAGAUGUUGAACUGACGUCUGUGUCCAGUGGGUUGUGUGAGAGCGACUGACCCUGUGCAUGAACAGGCCCAAUAAACCACACGCUGAGAACAUCAUGAGUAGAGGUGUAGAGGUUCUAGUCUUAUGGAGCUGGACAGAAUGUACCCAAAUGUGCCUGAAAUGAACUGUUUGUCUUCCAAUGUCUGUAUUCAACAUUUGUUCCAAAACAUGCCAAAUAAAG